GACGAACCGUGCGAACGUUGUUCGGAAUCACUGGGCUUAAAGGGCGCGUAGGCGGUCUGCCAAGUCCGGGGUGAAAGCCCCCAGCUCAACUGGGGAAGUGCCUCGGAGACUGGCGGACUUGAGGGAGGCAGGGGUUGUGGGAACUUCCGGUGGAGCGGUGAAAUGCGUUGAUAUCGUUAGGAACUCCGGUGGCGAAGGCGGCACGCUAGACCUCUUCUGACGCUGAGGCACGAAAGCCAGGGGAGCGAACGGG
rnacentral:rRNA from 1 species